ensembl:lncRNA
UGACCCUGUUCAUACUUUAGCCAUUGCAGAAAAGAAAUACAAGAUUGCCUUCUGUGAGAAUUAACUGCCUUAUCCUCAGUCUGAGCCAAAAGAAUUCCCCGACUCUCUUUUUCCCCUCUCUAAGUGUUUCACAUUCACGCCACACUUCCCGUAUCCAGCGGUCAUGUGGACAGAUGUCUUGGAAGAAUUAAGAACAAACUGCAGAGCACCAUGACUAUGUUGUGCCAAAUGUAAAAAGUUGAAAAUUAUUUUCUGUCCGACAUUUUUGGAACAUUUAGGGAAAUUCUGAAAUAUUUACACAGUGAUGUCAAAUAACAGUUUAAAGUUGCAGUGUACAUUUUUAAAUCUAAAUCUAAAUGUUAAAUGCAGCAGACAGUAAGCACACCACCAAGCAGCUCCACAAUACUGUAUGAUCAUAGGCAAGGUCUAUGAACAGCUGCUCUGAAAAACAGGAACACCAAUGGCAUCAUCAAGGCCUUUAAUGCUGCAGGUCAGUGGCUAAAAGCUGCCUCUAUGCUCUCCUUUCUGAAGGCAAUCAGAGAUGAAGAUUUAGCAUCAUGUCUGUAUUAUCCAUCAGACUCUGGUGUAGAGCUCAACUUUAGAGUGUGCACUGAGGCGCCAAGUAGAUCCAGGUAGAACCAUCAGAGGAAGAUAGAGGAGUGUUUUCAGAAAGUCUAAUGGACUCUGGCCUGCUUUACCAUUUCUAAUCAUUUGUUCUAUACAAACAAAAAUCAAACAGAGGAUGGUCAAAGAAACAGUGAGUAACAUAAUGGAUAAGGAUUCUGUAACGCCUAAUGCAAUUGAAAGUAAGCUCUCACAUUUUAUUUGAAAAAUAUUUCUCUGCUUUUAGGUCCACUCAGGAAAUUGGAAAUUCCACAGAAGAAAAGUGGAAUGCAUGUUAUUAGGAAGUUCAUCUCCUUGUUGAAAUAUUUACUGGGGAUUAAAUAAAUUAAAAUAUGCUUCCCAGACAAAACAUUUCUGUGGAUUAAUUAAAAUGAGUUUCCGUGGACCAAGCUUCCAGGAUGAUGUCAAUAUGCUGUACACCUGGACAAAUGUGACCUAUCAUAGCCUGGUUUGUUGGAUUCAGAAAUUUGACUUUUAUGCUUUAUAUCACCAAACCUCAAUCCGAUCAAUAUACUGUGGGAUUACUUAAAACAGCAGGUUCAUGACACUCAUGACAGGUCUCCUCAACUGGCAGGAUUGGCACUGUUAUUAAGGCAUGGGGAGCCAUAACCAAGCAUAAAAAAAUCACACUUGGGGAAUAACUGGUUCUUUCACUUUUCCUGUGUUGGUGAUUUACCUGCUGUUCCAAAUAAUGUCAACUUUCUAUGUGAUUCAGGCCUGAUAAUUUUGUAGCUAGUCAAAGUGCCCUAACGUCCCCACCAUUCUUUUUGUUUGGCCCUGUGCACCCUACAGUCAUCACUUUGGGAAUACUUUGAUCCUGUUCAACAAGAUGAGCUAAAAUAAUAAUAAUAAAUAAAAAUUAA